GUAUAAAGUGCUGCCCUGCUAACUGUUGAAAUCCGUUAAAGUAACAUUUUAGUUUCAUAUCCAUUUCAUCUCAAUGAAAUUAUGGGGCCUGUAAGCCCUGGGUGUUAUUGAAGUUUCCAGUGUUAAACUGUUUAGGAAUGGUUUAAGACCAAAGUUCCAGACACCUGUCACACCACCACUCUACUAAUAGGAAAGCAUUGGGUGGCCAGUGAUAGACUGAGAUAGUCAGUUGAUGCCAUUACUGCUAUUAUCCCGGUGUUCAUAACGGGCACCCAGAGACAGAAAUUUUUUGACUCUGUAAAGUAGAGCGAUGCUCUGGGACUCCAGGCCUCAUGACAACUUCAUUGAGAAGACUCUAAUCCGUGCAGGAUGCUUUUCUAUCGAUAUCCUUCCUGCAAUAUAAUUCAGGGCAGCACUCUUCAUGUGGUACCAUACCGUGUAAGUAAUGUGUGUUCGGCAAAACCUAGUGGUUGUGUGGCAGGCUCUGUUCUCUACACAAGCUAAAGGGGUUACUCACUAAGAUUAAAUUGUAAGGAAUUUUAAAAGUGGGAUUGCAACAUUCAAGAUAGCUGAACUGUGACUGUAGCAGACUGAGUUUCUCAAACUCUCUAAUUCUCCCUAGAUUUUGCAAUUCAGUUUUAAUUUUAUUACAAUUAAAUAAUUAGUAAAACAAAAAUACUCCUCCUUGACUUUAAGGAUUAGUCUGCCCCUCAAAAACCAGAGCUUUUCUGAUAGAGUGGAAUUUUAAUACUCACCUGGUGCAAGGGCUGAGUUUUUGGAGAAGUAAUUGGACUCCAAUGAGGUACAGGUGUUGUUGAUGAGCUGCCCCUCCCAUUGGAACAGGAGAGCUUGUCCUGUCACAGCCAAACCGAGGUAACUCCUAUUUACUCUCACAGCAAUCAAUGGGUUCGAUCUGCAUGUACAGUAAAGACGACACGAUUUGAAGGUAAGAAUUAAGCUUUUAUGGUCUCCUUAUUGAUUAGGACAAAGUAUGUGUUUGAGUCUGUGCUUUAAGAGGUGGUAACUAGCUGCCCAAGUAUUGACACUUUAGUAAGAUGAGUGAAGUGGUAAAACUGAAUAGGUUCAUGGUGGCUUUUCCCAGGCUUUGAUUAUUAUUAGCAUUGAUAUAGCGCCAACAAAUUCUGUAGCGUAUUACAGCAAUAUUAAUGGGAGAACAAAUAAGACAAACAUUACAGAUUUUAACAGAAACAAUAGACUGAUGAGAGCCUUGUGCAAAUGAGCUGACAAUCUAGUUUAUUGUGUGCAUUUAUAAAGUGAGACAACUAUAACUACAUUUCCAAGCGAUGCCAUAGAUUUGCUCUUCCCAUUUAAAAAAUCCAAGUGAUGUAACAAGCGAUUUGUGUAUAUCACGAGGACACAAGUUGAAUAUGGUGGUGGUUUUACUUUUAUUAAAUAAUGCGGAAUUCGCACAGUUAUGCUGCAUAUUUGAAGGUUUCCAGUACUCUGCCUGGUUACAUAGGCUGAAAAGAGACAUGUGUCCAUCUAGCUCAGUCUUCCUCAAUCUGUUUUUCUUUGUUUUGUUUUUUCUGUUGAUCCAAAAGAAGGCAACAAAACCUAGUUUGAAGCACUUCACAUUUUGCAACAUACUAGGAAACAAAAUUCCCUCUUGAUCCCAGAAUAGCAGUCAGGUUAAUCCUUGGAUCAAGUAGCUAUUACCAUACAGUUCAAAGAUUAUAUAAUUGAAUAUUCUGUUUUGAGUAUUAUUAUUCCUGCUUUUGUAGAACUGCCACUCCCAUAAUGCUCAGCAUACGGCUGGAUGUACCUUUUGGUCGCUCCUGUUUUAAAGCCCAGUUCACUGAAACCUGCUACAGAACUUGUCAUAUGUUUGUGUCUGUAUAUGGAGGUUCCUGUAUUCUAAUUGUGGGGAGCAUUUUCCAUACAUUUCCCAUGGAUUGUCCUGGGGGCGUUUUCAUAAAGUUCCAAAAAGUUUGACUAACGUUACGUUUCUGCAGACAUAACCAUUCUCACCAGGAGUCUGGUUAACCCUUACAGGCUGGAGCCAGGGGUUUGGGUCCUGGACUCUCAGGGUUAUUUAGUAAAUUAAGAAUUGUUGGUGAUUCACAGUGAAUUUCACACUUAAACCCAAAAUAGCAGAACUGUAUGAAUUCUCAAAGUCCCAGCUCUGCGUCCAGAUUGACUGUUUUGGCUUUAAAUGUGAAAUUCACUUUAAAUCCCCAACAUUUCUCACUUUAAUCUUUCCUGUGUCAGUUCAAUGCUACCGAAGGAGUUAAAAGUGGAUUUUGAGGGAAUAUUUAUGUUGUGAAGAUAAAAGGACAAGCUUUUGGGAACAAUAAUCUUUUUAUUUAUUUAUUUUAUUGUAAAAGCGCUCCAAAUAUUUUAGAAUUCUCAGUGCCCUAACCCCUACAGUAAGCUGUUGUAGUUAUUGUUCUUGGAGUGUCUCUUUAAUACAAUGUGACUAUAUAGACUGUAAGCUCGUUUGAGCAGGGUCCUCUUCAACCUAUUGUUCCUGUAAGUUGUCUUGUAAUUGUCCUAUUUAUAGUUACAUCCCCCCUCUCAUAUUGUAAAGCGCUAUAUAAAUGGCAAUAAUAAUAUAUUACAUCUAUCUGUCUGUACUUGAGACGUGUGUACAUAUACUUCUUGUGUGCUGGUCCCUGUUUCUGUAUUUGAUCGGAGGUUUGGGAUAUAGUCUAGAGCAGGGGUAGGCAACCUUUGGCACUCCAGAUGUUAUGGACUACAUCCCCCAUAAUGCUGGCAAAGCAUCAUGGGAGGUAUAGUCCUAAACAUCUGCAGUGCCGAAGGUUGACUGUGCCUGGUCUAGAGAAUCCUUGCUCCUAUAAACUGAACUAUCUCCAGUGAGUUAUUGUACUGAUUCUAGUAUUGUGCUAAUGUUUUGUUGCGGUUCGUUAGUUAUCUGCAUCUUUUAGUGCCGAACAAUUGGAAAUUAAACAUACAAGUAAUUGUAACAACUUGUUUGACGUGCAGGUGGUGACCAGGGCCCUACUCACACAAGCAAAUACCAGUGUCAUUAUCUUGAAGAUGUCGUUAUUAUUGCUGUUAACACAUGCUAGGCUACAUCACUGUUUCUUAAUUAAUGUUUUGUUUUUGGAGUCGUAUGUUUAUAUAUAAAGUAUUUUUAUUACAUAUUGUUCUAAUAUUCCACUGUUUGUAUUCAGUUUGCUUGUACUGCAUGUUGUGCAUCCCUGUACCUUGCCAUAGGUCGGUGUUACGUUUACUGCCAG